rnacentral:rRNA from 1 species
UACGUAGGGUGCAAGCGUUAAUCGGAAUUACUGGGCGUAAAGCGUGCGCAGGCGGUUUUGUAAGUCUGUCGUGAAAUCCCCCGGGCUCAACCUGGGGAAUGGCGAUGGAGACUGCAAGGCUAGAAUCUGGCAGAGGGGGGGUAGAAUUCCACGUGUAGCAGUGAAAUGCGUAGAGAUCAUGAGGAAGACCAGUGGCGAAGGCGGGGUCUCUGGACAGUUCCUGACACUGAGGCACGGAAGGCUAGGGGGAGCAAACGGG